rnacentral:rRNA from 1 species
UACGGAGGAUGCGAGCGUUAUCCGGAUUUAUUGGGUUUAAAGGGUGCGUAGGCGGAGUGCCAAGUCAGCGGUAAAAAUUCGGGGCUCAACCCCGUCGUGCCGUUGAAACUGGCGCCCUUGAGUGGGCGAGAAGUAUGCGGGAUGCGUGGUGUAGCGGUGAAAUGCAUAGAUAUCACGCAGAACCCCGAUUGCGAAGGCAGCAUACCGGCGCCCGACUGACGCUGAAGCACGAAAGCGUGGGUAUCGAACAGG